UACAGAGGUCUCAAGCGUUGUUCGGAUUCAUUGGGCGUAAAGGGUGCGUAGGCGGCGCGGUAAGUCGGGUGUGAAAUCCUGGAGCUCAACUCCAGAACUGCCUUCGAUACUGAGAGUCUCGAGUCCGGAAGAGGUGAGUGGAACUCCUAGUGUAGAGGUGGAAUUCGUAGAUAUUAGGAAGAACACCAGUGGCGAAGGCGGCUCACUGGUCCGGUACUGACGCUGAGGUGCGAAAGCGUGGGGAGCAAACAGG
rnacentral:rRNA from 1 species